GAUGAACGCUGGCGGCGUGCCUAAUACAUGCAAGUCGAGCGAACAGACGAGGAGCUUGCUCCUCUGACGUUAGCGGCGGACGGGUGAGUAACACGUGGAUAACCUACCUAUAAGACUGGGAUAACUUCGGGAAACCGGAGCUAAUACCGGAUAAUAUAUUGAACCGCAUGGUUCAAUAGUGAAAGACGGUUUUGCUGUCACUUAUAGAUGGAUCCGCGCCGCAUUAGCUAGUUGGUAAGGUAACGGCUUACCAAGGCAACGAUGCGUAGCCGACCUGAGAGGGUGAGCGGCCACACUGGAACUGAGACACGGUCCAGACUCCUACGGGAGGCAGCAGUAGGGAAUCUUCCGCAAAGGGCGAAAGCUUGACGGAGCAACGCCGCGUGAGUGAUGAAGGUCUUCGGAUCGUAAAACUCUGUUAUUAGGGAAGAACAAAUGUGUAAGUAACUAUGCACGUCUUGACGGUACCUAAUCAGAAAGCCACGGCUAACUACGUG
rnacentral:rRNA from 1 species